rnacentral:rRNA from 1 species
CUGCGGCAGCGACACUAUGUGUUGUUGGGUAGGGGAGCGUUCUGUAAGCCUGUGAAGGUGUGCUGUGAGGCAUGCUGGAGGUAUCAGAAGUGCGAAUGCUGACAUAAGUAACGAUAAAGCGGGUGAAAAGCCCGCUCGCCGGAAGACCAAGGGUUCCUGUCCAACGUUAAUCGGGGCAGGGUGAGUCGACCCCUAAGGCGAGGCCGAAAGGCGUAGUCGAUGGGAAACAGGUUAAUAUUCCUGUACUUGGUGUUACUGCGAAGGGGGGACGGAGAAGGCUAUGUCGGCCGGGCGACGGUUGUCCCGGUUUAAGCGUGUAGGCUGACUUUCCAGGCAAAUCCGGAAGGUUAAGGCUGAGGCGUGAUGACGAGGCACCACGGUGCUGAAGUGACAAAUGCCCUGCUUCCAGGAAAAGCCUCUAAGCAUCAGGUAACAUCAAAUCGUACCCCAAACCGACACAGGUGGUCAGGUAGAGAAUACCAAGGCGCUUGAGAGAACUCGGGUGAAGGAACUAGGCAAAAUGGUGCCGUAACUUCGGGAGAAGGCACGCUGACAUGUAGGUGAAGCCCCUGCGGGUGGAGCUGAAGUCAGUCGAAGAUACCAGCUGGCUGCAACUGUUUAUUAAAAACACAGCACUGUGCAAACACGAAAGUGGACGUAUACGGUGUGACGCCUGCCCGGUGCCGGAAGGUUAAUUGAUGGGGUUAUCGCAAGAGAAGCUCCUGAUCGAAGCCCCGGUAAACGGCGGCCGUAACUAUAACGGUCCUAAGGUAGCGAAAUUCCUUGUCGGGUAAGUUCCGACCUGCACGAAUGGCGUAAUGAUGGCCAGGCUGUCUCCACCCGAGACUCAGUGAAAUUGAACUCGCUGUGAAGAUGCAGUGUACCCGCGGCAAGACGGAAAGACCCCGUGAACCUUUACUACAGCUUGACACUGAACAUUGAGCCUUGAUGUGUAGGAUAGGUGGGAGGCUUUGAAGCGUGGACGCCAGUCUGCGUGGAGCCGACCUUGAAAUACCACCCUUUAAUGUUUGAUGUUCUAACCUGGCGCCGUGAUCCGGCGUGGGGACAGUGUCUGGUGGGUAGUUUGACUGGGGCGGUCUCCUCCCAAAGUGUAACGGAGGAGCACGAAGGUCAGCUAAUCCUGGUCGGACAUCAGGAGGUUAGUGCAAUGGCAUAAGCUGGCUUGACUGCGAGAGUGACGGCUCGAGCAGGUGCGAAAGCAGGUCAUAGUGAUCCGGUGGUUCUGUAUGGAAGGGCCAUCGCUCAACGGAUAAAAGGUACUCCGGGGAUAACAGGCUGAUACCGCCCAAGAGUUCAUAUCGACGGCGGUGUUUGGCACCUCGAUGUCGGCUCAUCACAUCCUGGGGCUGAAGUAGGUCCCAAGGGUAUGGCUGUUCGCCAUUUAAAGUGGUACGCGAGCUGGGUUUAGAACGUCGUGAGACAGUUCGGUCCCUAUCUGCCGUGGGCGCUGGAGAAUUGAGGGGGGCUGCUCCCAGUACGAGAGGACCGGAGUGGACGCAUCACUGGUGUUCGGGUUGUCAUGCCAAUGGCACUGCCCGGUAGCUAAAUGCGGAAGAGAUAAGUGCUGAAAGCAUCUAAGCACGAAACUUGCCCCG